AGCAACACCAAUCCCGGGUUCACGCCUGCCUAGGAAGUGCGGUCCCCGCCUGACCGCCCCGGGCUUAAGGGAGCCUGGCUAGGCCGGCAGCUGGAGGGUCCCGCAGCUCGGGGCCGGCCAUGCUUCGGGGUCCGUGGCGCCAGCUUUGGCUCUUUCUCCUGCUGCUGCUCCCGGGCGCGCCUGAGCCCCGCGGCGCCUCCAGGCCGUGGGAGGGAACCGACGAGCCGAGCUCGGCCUGGGCCUGGCCGGGCUUCCAGCGCCUGCAGGAGCAGCUCAGGGCGGCCGGUGCCCUCUCCAAGCGGUACUGGACGCUCUUCAGCUGCCAGGUGUGGCCCGACGACUGUGACGAGGACGAGGAGGCAGCCGCGGGGCCCCUGGGCUGGCGCCUUCCUCUGUUGGGCCAGCGGUACCUGGAUCUCCUGACCACGUGGUACUGCAGCUUCAAAGACUGCUGCCCUAGAGGGGAUUGCAGAAUCUCCAACAACUUUACAGGCUUAGAGUGGGACCUGAAUGUGCGGCUGCAUGGCCAGCAUUUGGUCCAGCAGCUGGUCCUAAGAACAGUGAGGGGCUACUUAGAGACGCCCCAGCCAGAAAAGGCCCUUGCUCUGUCGUUCCACGGCUGGUCUGGCACAGGCAAGAACUUCGUGGCACGGAUGCUGGUGGAGAACCUGUAUCGGGACGGGCUGAUGAGUGACUGUGUCAGGAUGUUCAUCGCCACGUUCCACUUUCCUCACCCCAAAUAUGUGGACCUGUACAAGGAGCAGCUGAUGAGCCAGAUCCGGGAGACGCAGCAGCUAUGCCACCAGACCCUGUUCAUCUUCGAUGAAGCGGAGAAGCUGCACCCAGGGCUGCUGGAGGUCCUUGGGCCACACUUAGAACGCCGGGCCCCUGAGGGCCACAGGGCUGAGUCUCCAUGGACUAUCUUUCUGUUUCUCAGUAAUCUCAGGGGCGAUAUAAUCAAUGAGGUGGUCCUAAAGUUGCUCAAGGCUGGAUGGUCCCGGGAAGAAAUUACGAUGGAACACCUGGAGCCCCACCUCCAGGCGGAGAUUGUGGAGACCAUAGACAAUGGCUUUGGCCACAGCCGUCUUGUGAAGGAAAACCUGAUUGACUACUUCAUCCCCUUCCUGCCUUUGGAGUACCGUCACGUGAGGCUGUGUGCACGGGAUGCCUUCCUGAGCCAGGAGCUCCUGUAUAAAGAAGAGACACUGGAUGAAAUAGCCCAGAUGAUGGUGUAUGUGCCCAAGGAGGAACAACUCUUUUCUUCCCAGGGCUGCAAGUCUAUUUCCCAGAGGAUUAACUACUUCCUGUCAUGAAGGCUAGAGGAAGACUUCCUGGAACUGCUUUUCUUCUACUAACAGGACCCUGGGACCUGUAGGAGCACCCCAUUUGGGACUGUGAGGUGUUUGAGGGGGUGUGGACUGGCAUCCAGCAGCCACUAACACACAACUGGUGUGUAAAAGGCAGGCCUUACAUUAGAAGCCGAGCCAAUCCUUUUUCUUUUUUUUUUUUUUUUUUUUUUGGAGGUCCCACUGAGAUAGAUAGGAACUUGGAUUGCUGAAUUCAAAAACAGAGCCCAUUCUUAAGAUCACUUGGUGCCUUAAAGACACGCAUUCCGCCCUCUCCCUCCUUUCCACGGUCUCCCUCUCCUCUCCUUCCUUUCCACGGUCUCCCUCUGAUGCUGAGCUGAAGCUGGACUGUACUGCUGCCAUCUCGGCUCACUGCAACCUCCCUGCCUGAUUCUCCUGCCUCAGCCUGCCGAGUGCCUGCGAUUACACGCGCGCGCUGCCACGCCUGACUGGUUUUCGUAUUUUUUUGGUGGAGACGGGGUUUCGCUGUGUUGGCCGGGCUGGUCACCAGCUCCUAACCGUGAGUGAUCUGCCAGCCUCGGCCUCCCCAGGUGCCGGGAUUGCAGACGGAGUCUGGUUCACUCAGUGCUCAAUGGUGCCCAGGCUGGAGUGCAGUGGCGUGAUCUCAGCUCGCUACAACCUCCACCUCCCAGCCACCUGCCUUGGCCUCCCAAAGUGCCGAGAGUGCAGCCUCUGCCCGGCCGCCACCCUGUCUGGGAAGUGAGGAGCGUCUCUGCCUGGCCGCCCAUCGUCUGGGACGUGAGGAGCCCCUCUGCCUGGCUGCCCAGUCUGGAAAGUGAGGAGCGUCUCUGCCCGGCCGCCAUCCCAUCUAGGAAGUGAGGAGCGCCUCUUCCCGGCCGCCAUCCCAUCUAGGAAGUGAGGAGCGUCUCUGCCCGGUCGCCCAUCCUCUGAGAUGUGGGGAGCGCCUCUGCCCCGCCGCCUUGUCUGGGAUGUGAGGAGCGCCUCUGCCCGGCCGUGACCCCGUCUGGGAGGUGAGGAGACCCUCCGCCCGGCAGCCGCCCCAUCUGAGAAGUGAGGAGCCCCUCCGCCUGGCAGCCACCCCGUCCGGGAGGGAGGUGGGGGUCAGCCCCCCGUCCGGGAGGUGAGGGGCGCCUCUGCCCAGCCGCCCCUACUGGGAAGUGAGGAGCCCCUCUGCCCGGCCAGCUGCCCCGUCCGGGAGGGAGGUGGGGGGGUCAGCCCCCGACCCGGCCAGCCACCCCCUCCGGGAGGUGAGGGGCGCCUCUGCGCGGCCGCCCCUACUGGGAAGUGAGGAGCCCCUCUGCCCGGCCAGCUGCCCCGUCCGGGAGGGAGGUAGGGGGUCAGCCCCCCGCCCGGCCAGCCGCCACCCCGUCUGGGAGGUGUACCCAACAGCUCAUUGAGAACGGGCCAUGAUGACAAUGGCGGUUUUGUGGAAUAGAAAGGGGGAAAGGUGGGGAAAAGACUGAGAAAUCGGAUGGUUGCCCUGUCUGUGUAGAAAGAAAGAAGUAGACAUGGGAAACUUUUCAUUUUGUUCUGUACUAAGAAAAAUUCUUCUGCCUUGGGAUCCUGUUGAUCUGUGACCUUACCCCCAACCCUGUGCUCUCUGAAACAUGCGCUGUGUCCACUCAGGGUUAAAUGGAUUAAGGGCGGUGCAAGAUGUGCUUUGUUAAACAGAUGCUUGAAGGCAGCAUGCUCGUUAAGAGUCAUCACCACUCCCUAAUCUCAAGUACCCAGGGACACAAACACUGCCGAAGGCCGCAGGGUCCACUGUUGUCCUAUGACCCUGCCAAAUCCCCCUCUGCGAGAAACACCCAAGAAUGAUCAAUAAAAAUAAAUAAAAUAAAUAAAAAAGAUGCAUUCCAAAGUGGAAUGUGGUUGAAGAAAGCCAUGUGGGAGCUCAGCAAAUCCCAACGCUUAUGAUGACACUCCAGAUGGUCUCCUUAGCAUCUCAGCUCUUCUGCAAGGAAGAGCUUGGGUGUUUGUUAGGCCUCAGAGGCUGUAGGGUCCUUGGGUUACAGAGCCGGGGAGAACGAAGUUCUGUGACCCAGGGGUGGAGAAUACACUCUAGGUUUGCGGGCUGGUGGGCUUUCAAAUUGGUACUUACUUCCAGAGGAAAGCCACGCUGCUUCUGUUGUGAGCGAAUCAGCCAAGAGCCUGAGGCUGAAGGGAAAAGUACACAGAGGAAGAUAUUUUACAAAUCAGGUUUUUCAUUUCUAACAACCAGAUGGCCCCACCUGGACCUGCCAACCAGUUCUGUGGCCCCCACCUAGGAACUGACUCAGCAGAAGAGAACAGCUUCGAUUCCCCAUGAUUUUACUCACCAAAUUAUCCUUAAAAACUCUGAUCCCCAAGUUUUCUGAGACUGAUUUGAGUAAUAAUAAAACUCUGGUCUCCCGCA